rnacentral:rRNA from 1 species
AUAAGCAGCUAGCUCUCUGCAACUUUCACAUGGUCGCCCACUGAAGCUAAGCAGGACUGAGUACCUGGUCAGUACAUGGAUGGAAGACCACAUGGGAAAACUAGGUUGCUGUUGGUA